rnacentral:rRNA from 1 species
GAUGAACGCUAGCUACAGGCUUAACACAUGCAAGUCGAGGGGCAUCAGGAAGAAAGCUUGCUUUCUUUGCUGGCGACCGGCGCACGGGUGAGUAACACGUAUCCAACCUGCCCUUUACUCGGGGAUAGCCUUUCGAAAGAAAGAUUAAUACCCGAUAGCAUAAUGAUUCCGCAUGGUUUCAUUAUUAAAGGAUUCCGGUAAAGGAUGGGGAUGCGUUCCAUUAGGUUGUUGGUGAGGUAACGGCCCACCAAGCCUUCGAUGGAUAGGGGUUCUGAGAGGAAGGUCCCCCACAUUGGAACUGAGACACGGUCCAAACUCCUACGGGAGGCAGCAGUGAGGAAUAUUGGUCAAUGGGCGCUAGCCUGAACCAGCCAAGUAGCGUGAAGGAUGAAGGCUCUAUGGGUCGUAAACUUCUUUUAUAUAAGAAUAAAGUGCAGUAUGUAUACUGUUUUGUAUGUAUUAUAUGAAUAAGGAUCGGCUAACUCCGUGCCAGCAGCCGCGGUAAUACGGAGGAUCCGAGCGUUAUCCGGAUUUAUUGGGUUUAAAGGGAGCGUAGGUGGACUGGUAAGUCAGUUGUGAAAGUUUGCGGCUCAACCGUAAAAUUGCAGUUGAUACUGUCAGUCUUGAGUACAGUAGAGGUGGGCGGAAUUCGUGGUGUAGCGGUGAAAUGCUUAGAUAUCACGAAGAACUCCGAUUGCGAAGGCAGCUCACUGGACUGCAACUGACACUGAUGCUCGAAAGUGUGGGUAUCAAACAGGAUUAGAUACCCUGGUAGUCCACACAGUAAACGAUGAAUACUCGCUGUUUGCGAUAUACAGUAAGCGGCCAAGCGAAAGCAUUAAGUAUUCCACCUGGGGAGUACGCCGGCAACGGUGAAACUCAAAGGAAUUGACGGGGGCCCGCACAAGCGGAGGAACAUGUGGUUUAAUUCGAUGAUACGCGAGGAACCUUACCCGGGCUUAAAUUGCAGUGGAAUGAUGUGGAAACAUGUCAGUGAGCAAUCACCGCUGUGAAGGUGCUGCAUGGUUGUCGUCAGCUCGUGCCGUGAGGUGUCGGCUUAAGUGCCAUAACGAGCGCAACCCUUAUCUUUAGUUACUAACAGGUUAUGCUGAGGACUCUAGAGAGACUGCCGUCGUAAGAUGUGAGGAAGGUGGGGAUGACGUCAAAUCAGCACGGCCCUUACGUCCGGGGCUACACACGUGUUACAAUGGGGGGUACAGAAGGCAGCUAGCGGGUGACCGUAUGCUAAUCCCAAAAUCCUCUCUCAGUUCGGAUCGAAGUCUGCAACCCGACUUCGCGAAGCUGGAUUCGCUAGUAAUCGCGCAUCAGCCACGGCGCGGUGAAUACGUUCCCGGGCCUUGUACACACCGCCCGUCAAGCCAUGGGAGCCGGGGGUACCUGAAGUACGUAACCGCAAGGAUCGUCCUAGGGUAAAACUGGAAACUGGGG